rnacentral:tRNA from 1 species
GCCGGCGUGGUGAAAUUGGUAGACACGAUAGACUCAAAAUCUAUUGGAGGCAACUCCAUACCGGUUCGAGUCCGGUCGCCGGUA